rnacentral:lncRNA from 1 species
UAUUUUUUUUUCUAUAUUUUAUGAGCACAAAAUAGCAAAUUAAAUUAUUUUUCAUAUAUUUCCAAAAGAGCAAAAUUUAGGGUGUUACAAUUCUACCCCCCUUAAAAUGAAUCUCGUCCUCGAGAUUCGGAAGAGGCUCGGAUCCUCUGAGAGAAACAGGAAAAUAUAUUGAUAAUCCUUUCAUCUUCACAACUUGCAUACCAAACUUAAACACUUGUCUCAAGGUCACACCUCAUGAACAUAAUUUCCAUUGAACUAUUAUUCAUAAUUGACCAAAGUCCAUCUUGACUACUAAUUUAUUUUAGCUUACAACUCCAAGAGACAUGGAAACUUAAUAUGUAUUUGCCUCCUCAGGUAGGAGUGGACCACCGUGAUACUCAAUUCUUUUCCCUGACGGUGCUGUUAAGAGCAUUUUGUACUGGGUACCAU